rnacentral:rRNA from 1 species
UGGAUCCAGACUUUGAUUAUGGCUCAGGACGAACGCUGGCGGCGUGCUUAACACAUGCAAGUCGAACGGAGAACUUAUUUCGGUAAGUUCUUAGUGGCGAACGGGUGAGUAACGCGUGGGCAACCUGCCCUCCAGUUGGGGACAACAUUCCGAAAGGGAUGCUAUACCGAAUGUGCUCCCUCCUCCGCAUGGAGGAGGGAGGAAAGAUGGCCUCUGCUUGCAAGCUAUCGCUGGAAGAUGGGCCCGCGUCUGAUUAGCUAGUUGGUGGGGUAACGGCUCACCAAGGCGAUGAUCAGUAGCCGGUCUGAGAGGAUGAACGGCCACAUUGGGACUGAGACACGGCCCAAACUCCUACGGGAGGCAGCAGUGGGGAAUCUUCCGCAAUGGACGAAAGUCUGACGGAGCAACGCCGCGUGAGUGAUGAAGGUCUUCGGAUUGUAAAACUCUGUUGUUAGGGACGAAAGCACCGUGUUCGAACAGGUCAUGGUGUUGACGGUACCUAACGAGGAAGCCACGGCUAACUACGUGCCAGCAGCCGCGGUAAUACGUAGGUGGCAAGCGUUGUCCGGAAUUAUUGGGCGUAAAGAGCAUGUAGGCGGGCUUUUAAGUCUGACGUGAAAAUGCGGGGCUUAACCCCGUAUGGCGUUGGAUACUGGAAGUCUUGAGUGCAGGAGAGGAAAGGGGAAUUCCCAGUGUAGCGGUGAAAUGCGUAGAUAUUGGGAGGAACACCAGUGGCGAAGGCGCCUUUCUGGACUGUGUCUGACGCUGAGAUGCGAAAGCCAGGGUAGCAAACGGGAUUAGAUACCCCGGUAGUCCUGGCCGUAAACGAUGGAUACUAGGUGUAGGAGGUAUCGACCCCUUCUGUGCCGGAGUUAACGCAAUAAGUAUCCCGCCUGGGGACUACGAUCGCAAGAUUGCAACUCAAAUGAAUUGACGGA